UGACAUGUUUGGGAUACUUUUCAAUACUUGAGCAACACAAAGGAGCCAUAAACCUGACUUAACCAACCAGUUAAACUGCAUUCACAGGUAAUUUGUAACCUUGUGGUGGAUGCCUUGAGUCAUCAGAUUGAUUCAAAACUGCUGGAGUGCAGGAGGGAAGGCAGCCUAUGAAGUAGCUAACUGAAGUUAUUCGGAAGCCAGGAGCUUAAUUUCAUGCAUAGGACUUAAUAAAUAAGAAGAUGUAGUCAUGAUUUACUGUAAAACCAAAGAACCACUGAAUCAUGAGCCAGCAGAACUAUUUUCCAGAGCUUUAAAUAUUUCAUCUUCUUGCCUGGAUACUGGAUUUUCACUAUUUGUGCUCACCAGAAGAUUGCAGCCCACUCUUCUCAGCAGACCACAGCAGAAUGAACUCAGAAGUUUCAAUCUAUACAGACUAGUUUGUUUUUCAUCAAACCCAUCGUUGAUAUUGAUAUUGAAAAACAUUGAUAUGCAGCUGUGUAAAUUUGUGUAAAAGUUUUUGCAAGUAUUAUAUCCAGAGACUGCAUUCAUGAGAGAAAUCCCAAGACUGGGAAAAGAUAUGUAUUUUUAUGCUAUCUACUCCUUGGCAACCUUCUAGUAUUCCUUUCAGAAGCAAAUCUCCACUCCUUACUGCCAUUCUCCUAUUCCUUCCAUCAAUACUGAAAUCGAGUUAUUAGCACAUCCACCUAUUGCUUCAUACACACAAAUGUGUGCUUCAGUGAAGUGUAGUAUCUCUCUCUUUGUGGAGAUUAUUUCAGCUGUCCAAGUUCAGCCAAGACUAGAUGACAUUACUGCUUUCUGUGAGAUAGAACAUUCUUUUCCAUCCCAUGAAGCAAUGUUCUAGCAACAUUUCAAGGAUUUUGCAUACACAAAAUUUUACAUAAGCUUCAAUAAUUUGUGCAACUACUUAAUUUCUCUGCUUAACACUCAUAUUUCUUCUUCUUGAAGAAUAAUAGACUAAGCAGCUGAUGAAGUUUACCUAUUCUUGAUUUCUAUGUUCUUGAUCCAUUGGACCACUUUGAUAGGAGACUGCAUAUUUCCAGAAGACCUGCAGGGUAAGCAGGAGACAUAGAUGUCCCAUGAACAAGUAUUAGGAGUAAGGACCAGAAUGCUGUUAAAAUAAUUAAUUAAAUAAAUAAACAAAUAAUAAAGGAGCAGAUAGGCAUCCAGAUUUAGAGGUGACAGAAACAAAGCAGUAUUACCCACUCUGUAUACUUUAUUGUUAUCCAGAAAUUGGAUUAAAGUAAAAUUUAAAAGAAAGAGCCUACUUUGCAAGGACAAGAGUUGGAGGGAGAUUGGUUUGCAAUUCAUAUUUUAAUUUGCAAUAUCCAAUUUUAAAAUAUUAAAGUAAGUGUGAUGUAGUGUCUUUUUUCAUGUUGAGAAAGAUCUAGAUACAAAGUCCAUAGUACUGAACAGAAAUAUUCCAGUUUGUGUUGAGAUUCGUUGAACAAAUCAGAGUAGAGCAGUGUUUCACAAACCAACUUUAGCUCAGGGAAGCUGAUCUCCACAGACUCCCACAACAGCUGAUGGAGAGAUAAAAGCAUCUCUACAGUUAAUUCAGAUGAGUAUUCUAUCAUCCUCAAAAGAGAGAUUCUGAAUCUUAUUUUUGAUUCCACUUUGCCCUCAGGAGGAACUUAUUUCUUUCUAUGUAUUGCCAAAGAAACUUGGGAAGAGUCAUCACCAAAAGCAAUGAGUAGUCUUCAUGUUUACACCCCAAAGAUUAUACUGUUUCACAGUAACUUAGAUGCAACCUGAUCUAAACUAUAAACUCAGAUGUUAUCUGUAUCAAUUAUCUUAACAUAUUUUUACUUAUAACUUAUAUUGAAAUAUUAAGUGGUCAUUUUUCAUAUCCUAAUAAGCAGUGAUACAUAAUAAAUAUUUACUGUGAAAGCAUGUAUUCAUCUUGAUUUUAUGUAUGUAUGCAUAUCUUGAAUUUGGGGGUAAAAUUAGAUUUUUUCAAAGUUUUCUUUUUUGUGACUAUUUUGUGACCUUGUAUUACUCAAAGUGAUUUAAUGAAAUUUUUUUGCUUAAUUAAAACAAGAUUUCCAGGGUAGGUUCAAUAAAAUGAGAAAAUAAUACCUCACCCAGUUUUAGAAUUUUUCUGCUUCUCUUUGGUUCCUUCUUUACAUGAGACUGAGAUCCUUAAUGAGCACUGACAGCACUGCAGCAGUAGCAACUUCAACUUAGCAACCUUCAUGAAGAAAUCAUCUUGUUAGAAAUUAAUUUCUACUUCAACAAAUAUUUUGUCAUGAUUGCAUUCCCAGCCUUCUGUGUGAAUGACAAAGCAAAAGAUAUCCAACAUGGCAGAAGCAUCCCUAUGAAUCACUGAGGUUAGAUGCAAAAAAUAUCAAUUAAUUCUGAAACCAAUCCUGUUAUCAGCUGAUGCAAGUCUUAUUCCAUUGAAUACAUUUUCUAGAACCCUGUCAAACACUUUAAUGUCUCAAACAAAAGGACUAUCACAAUUGCCCUUUCAGGUUAUCCAUAGCUAAAUAAAGCACUCAUUGAUAAAUAAUCUACAUUUUCUUUUAAUUUACUUUCUGUGGUGAAUUGACCUCUGCCAGCUGGCAGAUGCCUACCCAACCACUCACUCAUUACCCAUCCUCUACAGGAUGUCUCGCUCCAAUUUAUAGGAGGGAGAGGAAGUUCUUUGAUAUAUGUAUACCCAACAUGAGAUUAAGAAACAACAGUUCAAAUGUUGGUCUGACCAGUUUAUUACAAAUCUUAAUCAGGGAGAUGGGGAAGGGGAGAUGGGCGAUAGAAAAUAUAGGAAAUAAAAGCAAGGAGUCCUUGUCGAGAGCAAGAGGGAGAUAGUCACCACCAUGGGUCCAGCAUGGUUCGUCUUCAGUAGUGAUGGGUCAUCAGGGGCUGUUGUUCCAUUGAUGACAACAACUGUGACCAACCUUCCAAUGGCAGUACAAACUUAUUUAUAAGUCCAAAGUGGUUGAGUCAGCUCCAUUUGGAGGGACAUCUUCUGGCUUUUGGAUCUCAGUAGGAACUCCUUUUGUUCCCAUCUUCCAGGCCUUGCCAGCAGAUAAGAGGGAACAUGGAGGCGCCGACUUGUAUCUUGCCUUCACAGGAUGCAAUGGUACCAUCCCUGAAUCUCCCAUAGCAAGCUGGAGUUACUUGGUCACAGGCCAGAUCUUCCACCAGUAAACAGUCCUGAGCACCCUCUUCCGAAGGCAAACAGCUCCAAAGAAAUGCUAUCAAAUGUAAAAUUGUCCAUACAGUGAUGUUGAUUGGCACACAGAAACACCCACCUCUCAUCUCCUAGAUAAGUCAGUCUUAUCACAGGAAAUGCCUCAGAAAGCAAGCUUUGAGCCAAAAACAAAGGAUUCAUACACAGGACAGAUAAGAAAAUAUGAUGAAAAACCAUGUGGGUCAAAAUAAAGACAUGGAGAUCACCUACCAAUUACUGUCAGAAGCAAAAAAAGACUAGACUACUGGAAGAUUAAUGCAAGUUAUUGCCAAUUAAAAUAGGACAGUGAAAAAUAAAGUGAGAAACAAAACUUGAAACACUUCCUACCCACCUCUACCCUCUCUCUACUUCACUCCUUCAUUCCCAGUUUCUCUCUCCCAAUCUUACUGUGUGGCACAAAGGGAUGGGGAAGAAGGGAUUAUAGUCAAAAAACCAUAAUGAUUUAUCUCUGCCUCUCAUUCCUCCUCACAUUUUUCCUCAGCAUGAGCCACAGAUCAUUCAGGAAAUAUCCACCUGACUGACUGCGGCCCACUUCAAUCUGCUCUACUGUGGGGUCCUCCAAGACCUGCAGCGUGAAUAUUUGCUCUGGCAUGGUCCUCUCUGCAGGUUACAAGAUAGCUUCUCCAGGAUAGCUUCCCCACCAUGGACAUCUCCACAGGCUGCAAAAGAACAUCUGCCCCUGCAACACCUCUUCCACUCCUUCUUCACUGACCUUGGUGUCUGCAGGGUUGUUUCUCAUCUGUGUUUUUUAAUUCCCUCUUCACUGCAUGAAACAUUAUACUCUUUCUUACAUACAUCUUCCUCAAGGUGCUGCCUUCUUGGCUUCUGGGCCUAGUCACACCCUUAAGUGGGGCCAUUGGAGUCCUGCGGCACCCCAGAUUUGCCUUACAAGGGAGUCUUGCAGCCUCUGUCACCAGCACCUGGGCUCUUGUAGCCUGUACAACUCUAAAACGUCUAGCAUUACUUUAAAAAAAUCUUCCUCUCCUUGGUGUAUCUUGGCCCAAAUAACAUGCAUGGUAAUAUUUUCAUACUGCUUUUUGCCUCUGGUAAUUCUUUGGUUUUACUUAGUUAAGGCAAACAUAUUUAGUGUUUUGAAAUGUCCUUUUAUGACAGGGUAAGUUCCUUUCCUUGUUCUUGCAACACACUCGUUGUUAUUGUACUUAUAACUAUAAGUGAAAUAAUGGAAAUCCUUAAAUGUGCAACUUGAUAUGUUAUUGUUUAUCUUUAUUAUCUUCUGUUUAUAAUUCCUCAGUUCUCGGCCUACAAUAAAUCAUUUCUAUUGAUCUCACUGUGUUGAAUAAGAUUUCAUGAAAUUUUGAUCCUCAUGCUUUAUUAAAAUCCUAAUAUAUCAGCGCUAACCUUUCAUCUUCAUCCACUCAGCAACUUUGUCAAAAAUCUUUUGUCUUCUAGCAAAGCAAAUCCUUGUAUUUCAAGAAUGCUCAUUACCCUACCCUUCAGUUAGAUUUUUGUUUUUGAUGUUCAUUCCAUAUUUUUAGCAGAAGUUUCAUUUUAAGAAACAGCGAUUCCAAAAUAAGUGGGUAGUUUCAUGAGAUGAGGAAUGUGAGAAACAGUACUGGAAAUUCUGGAGACUAUAGCUAGUAAAGUUUGAGAACAAGACUGGUAAACACAGCCAAGAUAGAAAACAGAGAGGGAAAGAGAAGUAAUCAAGCUGAAAGACACAAGACUACAAUUACUGAACACUUCCUUGAUUAAGCUAAAGAAUAGGACAUCAGUUACUUUCGUCAAUGGAAUGGAUGAGAAUUAAAUUCAUUUGGAAAAGAUGAAUAGAAAAGUUGAAGUAGAAGGAUAGAUUAUUCAUGUUUUGCACACAGCUAAUUUCCCAUGAUAAUGCAAUGCCAUCUGUAGGCAGAUAAAAUAGUAUCCUAUAAAAUAAAAGAAAGAAUACAUUUUUACAUUACGAAUAUGCCUAAGGAACUGCUAAAGCAAGCCAGUUGACAGAAAUCCUUGAAGUUGUAUUUAAUAAUAUUUAAUAACAUAUAUCAGGACUUGUGGUUCUAUUCUAUUUUGUUCAAAUAACUCUGCAGUGAAGGUUCUUAUGUGACUUGAAAGAAAUGAGAAAUGGUGACCACUGACAGAAAAACUGAUUGAGAAGAGCAGCUACUAGUCAUUCUUUGGAACUCUCAGAGGGCUAAAUCUAGGAAAAUGUACCAUGGAUACACAAGUAGGGAUUUCAGAGACAGAUUUAAGGGCUACAACACACAGGAGGCACUUUACCUUUAAUGAACACACACAUCAUUAACAACCUGUCAUGUAACAGAUGUAGAGCACACAACAACUACUUAGAGACACUAUUCCAAGGAGAACAAGUCACCAUAUUUUUGGUCCUUUUGAUAUAUGGCUGAAAUUACAAACCUUACAUUCAUUUUAUAUGACAAAUACUGCGUAAUGAUCAUAUCUGUUCUGGGAACAGUGAUAAAGUUCUUGUAGGCGUCAUUCUAUGUCUAUCAGUGUUUUACAUGUAAAAAAUCAGGAAAAUGGUUGAUUUUAAAAAUAUUUUAAAAAUAAAACAAAGAUGUGAGUUAAAGACGACAUACAGUUCAUUUUUUAAUAACUAAAUGUGUAAUGUUGAUGGUUUUUAGUGGUGGGUUUUUUUUGUUGCUGUUGAUUAUUUUUCGUUUGUUUUUUGUAAUGCACUGAAUGUCCCAAAUAUCAAGGGUAAUGGAAACAAUCUUCACAUAAAAUAGAUAACUUGUCUAGUGUCUAUACAACAUAGAUCCCUUGAAAUCCAGACUGAAAUACUCAUUAUCAUAUGCAUCAGCUCUCUUGUACUCACCUAGGAAAGAAAGUCAGUUAAGUACAACAAAUUUUAGUAAACAGAAGAAUUUUAUAGUGAUCAAAUUCAACAUUAUUUCUGAUGCUUAAGAAUAUAGAAGCGCAAAAGCUUUGUGGCAAGUGAAUAUCUUACACCAGAGGGUUCUUUUAUG
ensembl:lncRNA